UACGGAGGAUGCGAGCGUUAUCCGGAUUUAUUGGGUUUAAAGGGUGCGUAGGCGGACGCUUAAGUCAGCGGUAAAAUUGCGGGGCUCAACCUCGUCGAGCCGUUGAAACUGGGUGCCUUGAGUGGGCGAGAAGUACGCGGAAUGCGUGGUGUAGCGGUGAAAUGCAUAGAUAUCGCGCAGAACUCCGAUUGCGAAGGCAGCGUACCGGCGCCCAACUGACGCUGAAGCACGAAGGCGUGGGUAUCGAACAGG
rnacentral:rRNA from 1 species